UAAGAGGUUGCAAAAACUAAGAGUCAUUGAACAGAGCGUUGCGGCGAUGAGGGUCAAUAAAAGGAGUUUUUGCCGAAAUGCAGUUUGUCGCAAAACAAGCUGUGUUGGGCCGAUUUUAAAUAAGAAUCGGACUGUCAUUUUAUUCAGAAAUGAUGUGCUUAC
rnacentral:ncRNA from 1 species